rnacentral:sRNA from 1 species
GUCACAUGAUCGUUGACCCGAGCAGG